rnacentral:lncRNA from 1 species
UUAUUUAUUUCCUUCAAGCAUAAUGGGACACACAUAUUCUACCUAUGUAUGUGUGAGAUUUAUAUCUACCUAUGUAUGUGAUAGACAUAUUUCUACCUAUGUAUGCGAGAGACAUAUUCUACCUAUGUAUGCGAGAGACAUAUUUCUAUUAAUUUGCAUUGUUAUUCGAGUUACAUUUCCAGAGAGACUGCUACGGAUAAUUAAGACAUCUGAAUUAAACAGUAUGAAUGAGCUUAAAUAAUACAACAUACAAAUUACAUGAAGACAUCAUCGUCAUCCUCCGUCGAUGCAACACUCUUGCCCUUCAACGAUGCGGCACUCUUGGCGUUGGACGAUGUAGGUGUCCUGGCCUUGGUGCUCGGCAUGAAGAUAUCGUCUUCAUCUUUGCUGUCGACAGUCCAUAAAUAAGUAUGUUCUGCUGCAUUCUUUAGGAAAGUUUCACCCUUAUUGUUGGGGAACGUAG